UACGAAGGGGGCUAGCGUUACUCGGAAUUAUUGGGCGUAAAGCGUGCGCAGGCUGUGAGGUAAGUUGGAAGUGAAAUCCUAGGGCUCAACCCUAGAACUGCUUCCAAUACUGCUUCACUAGAGUGUUGGAGGGGAUGGCGGAAUUCCUAGUGUAGAGGUGAAAUUCGUAGAUAUUAGGAGGAACACCGGAGGCGAAAGCGGCCAUCUGGCUAAACACUGACGCUGUAGCACGAAAGCGUGGGGAGCAAACAGG
rnacentral:rRNA from 1 species